GGGUGAAACUCUUUUGGCCUCAUGUUUUUGUAGAACACUUCUUCACAGCAUCUUUACCUCUGUUUGCAUGCUCCAGGGACAAGGGCUCCCUGCUUGACAAAGCAGCCCAGAAAAUUGCCACAGUUUCUCAACCUCCACUCUUACUCCCCUCCUCCUCACCUCUCCUUUGGACACAUGAAAUCUUAGGUGCAAUGUUUUUGCAUUUCUGCUUUGAAAAAAUAUCUCUCAAUUGUUUUCCUUUGCUUUUCCAAGAAAUCCAUACUCCUCCGCGAACCCUGCAAGGUCCUGUGUGAGUCCAUGCACAGGCUACCCCUACGCCUUGGUCUUGUUUUGCUGAGGUACCCUCUUCCUCAUUCUUCUGUGAUGCCAAGCUGCUUUCAGUCACCUUGAAGACUUUCUGUGACUGCAAUGACAACUCAAGAUAAUCAUCGGGAAAGAAGAAGAGUUCCCUUUGUCUCACAGUUUAGAAAAUUUUGGCCCACCGUGAGUGAACUCUAUCGAUUUUUUGGGCCAGCACAUAAUGGCAGGUUGUGUGCGGCAGAGCAAAGGUUCAUUUCUUUGCAGGGAGGUCAGAGAAAAAGAGGUGGUGGCAGAGCGCCACUAUCCCCUUUAAUGACAUACUCCCAGUGAUCAGGAGGCCUCCCCCUAGGCCCCACCUCUUAAGUGAGACUCUCACCUCGUAGUGCCAGCUGUGGCUGAGCCUUUAACACACAAACCUUUGGGUUCAGAUCCCAACUCCAGCACACCGCCCUGCUAUCUCUUUGCCUUAAAACUGAUAGUAAACACCUGUAACCGAAGAACCAAAGGCUCCACUUGAGGGCAGCAACCGGCAGCAUACAGUGGGGCUGGAAGGCUGAACCCAUCUUAGCAGGCAGCAUGGAGGAUCCAGGGAGAGUGGGUGCUGGUAGCAUGAAAGAAGAGAAGGAAGCUGGCUGGUUUCUGGGACUCUGGAUGGGAUCAUUGCUCUGCUGGCAAGAAUGCUGUGCUGUCUGCCCUUGGCUGCAAUGAAUCACUUUGCUUAAGGGUGCCCUUCCCAAGGAGCCCAUUUCUGCCAGGACCUUGAAGACAGUCCGUGUUAGCCCCAGACUCUGAUGAGAGGAGGUAAUUCCUUGGGUUGACACGAAGCUCUUCUGCAGGCAACAUGGGAGACAGCCUGUGGAGCAAACGACACAUUACACAGUUCAAUUCAAAUGAAGAUCAAAGCCGGCAAAACAAAUCCACAGUGAAGGCGGACAGAAUAAUAGUGAUCACUGGGUUUAGGAAGACGUCUGUGUUGGGGGGAAUAGUCUAAAACCUGACAAGAAGGUUUUUAUUCUACAUAUAUCC